rnacentral:rRNA from 1 species
GAUGAACGCUGGCGGCGUGCCUAAUACAUGCAAGUCGAGCGAACGGACGAGAAGCUUGCUUCUCUGAUGUUAGCGGCGGACGGGUGAGUAACACGUGGAUAACCUACCUAUAAGACUGGGAUAACUUCGGGAAACCGGAGCUAAUACCGGAUAAUAUUUUGAACCGCAUGGUUCAAAAGUGAAAGACGGUCUUGCUGUCACUUAUAGAUGGAUCCGCGCUGCAUUAGCUAGUUGGUAAGGUAACGGCUUACCAAGGCAACGAUGCAUAGCCGACCUGAGAGGGUGAUCGGCCACACUGGAACUGAGAAACGGCCCAGACUCCUACGGGAGGCAGCAGUAGGGAAUCUUCCGCAAUGGGCGAAAGCCUGACGGAGCAACGCCGCGUGAGUGAUGAAGGUCUUCGGAUCGUAAAACUCUGUUAUUAGGGAAGAACAUAUGUGUAAGUAACUGUGCACAUCUUGACGGUACCUAAUCAGAAAGCCACGGCUAACUACGUG